GAUGAACGCUGGCGGCGUGCCUAAUACAUGCAAGUCGAGCGAACAGACGAGGAGCUUGCUCCUCUGACGUUAGCGGCGGACGGGUGAGUAACACGUGGAUAACCUACCUAUAAGACUGGGAUAACUUCGGGAAACCGGAGCUAAUACCGGAUAAUAUAUUGAACCGCAUGGUUCAAUAGUGAAAGACGGUUUUGCUGUCACUUAUAGAUGGAUCCGCGCCGCAUUAGCUAGUUGGUAAGGUAACGGCUUACCAAGGCAACGAUGCGUAGCCGACCUGAGAGGGUGAUCGGCCACACUGGAACUGAGACACGGUCCAGACUCCUACGGGAGGCAGCAGUAGGGAAUCUUCCGCAAUGGGCGAAAGCCUGACGGAGCAACGCCGCGUGAGUGAUGAAGGUCUUCGGAUCGUAAAACUCUGUUAUUAGGGAUGAACAAAUGUGUAAGUAACUAUGCACGUCUUGACGGUACCUAAUCAGAAAGCCACGGCUAACUACGUG
rnacentral:rRNA from 1 species